rnacentral:tRNA from 1 species
CUUCCGGUAAGUAGCGGUAAAAUGAAGUAAAUGGGCUUUUAGUGGCUGUUAACCACCCUGUCGAUGGUUCGAGUCCGUCUCGGGGAGCCA